CGCCCGCAUCUGUCGCUCCCUUUCUGUUUAGACUGCACGUUUGCCUGGCCACGCCUCUCUUUGGAGUGCUCACCAAUCAGCUGUCAGUCAUGCAAGCCGGAGGAGCCGUGCACAGGCGCUCCGUGUCUGUCCCGUACGGUUAGCUGGAAGUGGUCACGUGUCGUGUGGCUGCGGUUAUAGGGUUUUUGCUCUGCCAGCCUCACCGAGAAAACCACAUGGCUCUGUGGUCGCGGGGAGUCGACACCGACUCGACGACGCAGUCAGUCUCUCUCUCUCUUUCUCCCCUGCCCGCCCGGUCAGUGCAUGUUCGUAUCUCGCUCAGUCUAGUUGGGCUUCUAGUAAAGAGGGAAAAACUUUCUCUCUGCGCUGACGGGGUCUAUUCUAGGCACCUCUCUGCACAAUAGUGGGGUCUUUUCACUAGACGAGAGCAUUCCACUAGAAUACAUUUAAAGAUAACUCUAAAAGCAAAAUAAUUGUUUUGUUUUUUAAAUCCACUCAAUUUUUGUUUUUUACAAAAUAUGAUCCGCUUGUAUUUUUUGUAUUGUUGAAAGUAUCAAAAUUUAAUUAAGAAAGUUAAAAGCACUAAACAAAAAAUUAUUUAGUUUUGAGGAGGGAUAGCAUGAUCAUAUGUUUUGCACCAUGGCUAUCUGAAAAUGCAUACAACUUUAAGAAAAAUAAACAUACAUGGUGAUCAAAGCUGCAGUGAACAAAAUUGGCUUGAGUUGUAGGACACCUAUUCAGAUUUCUGUGCAGCUGGGAAGCAUACCAGUGGGUCCUGGAGAGGUUCAUACCAGUCUUCAGCCCUGCCUAGCUUACCUCAAGUUUGUUGGGAUGGAAACAUGAUAUAUGGAUAUAUUGUCACCCCUGAUAUCUUCGGAUAGCACAAGAAACAGGUCUAAGUACGUAGAUGUUUUAUAGCUUCUUGCCUCAUAAACACAAAGCAAUCUUGUGUUUGAUUAACUAAGCUUUAUUCAGAAACUCAGUUUUUCUCCUCCUUUCCCUCCCUUUUCUUUUUGACUCCACCACCCACACUCUCGACAGGAUCCCCACUGGGACAAACUUCUAAUUAACAUAACAUGAAAGAUUACUAGAUAGAAUAUAACACAUCCCUCCCCUUAUAACAACCAGAAUCGCAUUCAUUUAAAAUUUGGUGACAAAGUCUUGAAGUCUUUUAGGUGGUCUCAUUUCACACACACUUCUAAAACUUGGGGUUUCUGGCACAGGAGCUGUUAGUGAUUUAUUUUCUAGUACAGAGAAUCACUAUCAUCAGCCUAAUUUGUGACGUCAAAACAAGAGGCAAGAUCAAAUUCUGCUCCAGUUCCUCUUGUGAGAUCAGACUCCCUUCCCUCUUUUCUCAUAGCAUGCGUGCUUGAAAGUCUUGAACUGUUCAAUUUCUUUCCAUAAUACAAUAUUGACAGAAUCUCCUCAGAUUUCAAUUAUUUGUUUUGGUCCAGAAUAUUGGGAACAUCCCUUUCUCAUUUCAUAAGGCAGCUGUAUUUGAACACAGUCCCCCACCUUAAACAUUAGCUGUUUCGCACCCCAUUUCUGAUCCACAUACAAUUUAUAUUUUUGCUGCUUCUCCCUUACCCAAUCUCAGAUCUCUGCAUCCUCAGGAUGAGAUGACACAGAAAGCCCUAUAAGUUAUUGCCAUUGGGUAAGUUUGGUGGUAGGUUUGCAUCCUCUCAGUAGUUCAAAAGGUGAAUUCCCUAUAGUAGAAUGAGUAGUUAUUUGAUAAGCAAAUAGAGUUUCAUGGAUUGCCUCUCCAGGGUUGUUAUUGCGUAGUAGCCAGUUGUAAAUGUUCUUUCACUAAUCUGUUCAUUCUUUCCACUAAGCCGUUCACUUGAGGAUGUUGCAAGGUGUUUUAUCCCAUGGUUAUGCAAGUAUUGCUCCAUUUCAAAUAAGGUAAGCUGAAUCCCAUUGUCAGUCACUAGUUCUUUAGGAAGACCUUCUCUUGCAAAAACUUCAGCCAUGAAUUGGAUCACCUUAUUUGUAGUAAUGUUGUCAGCUAGAAACCUCUGGCCACCUGGAAUAGUAAUCCACCAUUGCAAUAACAAAUCUUUGUUUUGUGGGUUGGUUAUCAAAAAGCCCCAUUAUAUUCAGAACAAACUCUACUUGUUUGGGAUACUCUACUAGAGUUAAGGGGGUGGUAAAAGUCUUCUGUGAUUUGUCACACAAAUCACAAGCCAUACAGUGCCUGAUUACAUAUUCAAUGUGUUUGUCCAUACCUGGCCACCUAAAACUUUCUCUGAUUCACCUUUUAGUCAAGCUCAUGCCCAGGUGACUUUUGUGGGCGAUUUUGAUCACUUUAGCUUGUAAGGAGGUUGGCACCACCAAAUGAUCAGUCCUCAGCACCAACUCAUUGAGAAGGGACAGCUCACUCGCUACGUGCAUGUAUGGUUGAAGAUGUUCAAGUACCCUGUUUUUACAUGGCCAUCCAUUAGUUAUGUGAAGUUUAAGUUCAGUAAGCACUGACGCAUGUGCAGCAGCCAUUUGGGAAAAACAAACUGUCUGCUGCGCAUGCGAAAAUGACCUCUGCGAGGCCGUGGGCUAUGGCAGGCCUCACAGAGGCCAUUUACACAUGUGUGGCGGCAGCCAAAAUGGCUGCCACCGCACACUACAGAGCAGGGGCAUAUCUAUGGUAGGGCAGGCAGGGCACGUGCCGCGGGUGCCACUUGAAGGGGGGCGCAAUUUUUUAAACUUUAAAAAAAUGGCCACCGAAAACAAAAUGGCCACUGUGCAUGCUCAAAGGGCCUCUGUGAGGUCCUAGUCCAUGCCAGGCCUUGCAGAAGCCAUUUGAGCAUGCGCGGUGGCCUUUUUCCCCCCAGCAGCCAUUUAAUUUUUUGUUAAAGGCCACCGCACAUGUUCAAAUGGUCCCUGCGAGGCCCUAGAGGCCAGCGGGGGGAGGGGGAACCUUUGAAGACCCCCCCAUGGCCUUUAGGAAGCCCUCUGAAGGGGCGACAGGUAUAAAUAAAUAAAUAAAUAAAUUUAAUAUAAUAUGUCACUGUACACAUAUUUUGUUUGGCACUAUGUCCAGAGAAUCAGGGAUUGUGAAUACUGACCUGAAGCUUAUGAGCUAGGAUUGUAUUCAUUUGCUCUUACUUUGCUUCUUGUGAUAAGGGAGUUAAACGUGAUGUCUUAAUAAGAUGGCUAUUAAUGGUGAAUUUGUCUUUGAAUCAGUGUGAAAUCCUUAGUAUUAAGGCCCACUGGGAGUUUCUUGCUCUCUUUCUCUCAUUUUAACUGUCUUUCUGAAAGACUAGAAUAUAUUCCAAGCAGUGACACAGUUUACUCUGCAUAUCCUUUAAUUAUUUACAGAGUAUCUGGGAAAAGUCAAAUUCUCCAUUGAUUUUUAAAACUUAUGUAAUGGUGAUGCUACAAUGCAUAGUAGAGAAUUAGACAGGAACUUCUGUUUAGUUUUCCAAGUACACCUCCACAUAGUAUUUGGUAUUUCAUGAGCCCCAGCAUGCUGAAAUUUGUAGUUUUCCAGCAUUUUUUGGUCUGGCUACAUCCAAUGCUAAAUAGUUUUUGAAAUAUUAAAAGAUUAACGAGCUUGACUUGUAUUUUUGAGCUGAUAUUAUGGUAAAGUUAUCUGAAAGAUGGGUGUCAGAUGUUUGGACAGGGGGCGCAAUUUCAGUGCUUGCCUUAGGCGCUAUUUUCCCUAGAUACGCCUCUGCUACAGAGGCCUGAACAGGCCAAAAAAGAUCCAUUUCCUGGGUCGCGGCGGUGAUUUCAGAUGCCGGUGAGGGGAAGGGGAACUCUCGCGGACCCCCCCCCGGGCAUACAGGAAGCCCCCCGAAGGGGCUAAAGGAACAAUGGGAGAGACCCAUUCUGAUGAAUCAACAGGUCCUAUGAUGUCAGCAAGCUGUAAUCUUAAGAGCUCUUCUUUAAGUGAUUGGCGCAAUGCCAUGGGUACGUUCCUUGCUUUGUGUUGUACAGUUAUUGCAUUUGCCUUUAUCUGCAUUUUGUUUCAAAUUUACGGCAUUACCAGGAGUAUCAGCAAAAACAUCAGAUAAAUCAGCAAUCUUAUCGGCAUAUGGAUGUUCCAUCAUCUGUAAAUGGGUUCCGUGCUAUAUAUUUAUUUAUCAAAUCUGUACAGCACCCCAAACCUUUGUCUCUGGGCAGUUUACAGUGACAUAAAACAAGUUAAAACAUUAUUUGGAUCUAACAUUAUCUGUAGAUAUUUCUGAUGUUUCCAGCCUGAGAAUCCUUUUUGUGUCACAUACAUUUUCCCCUCUGCAAUAUAUCCUUUGUAUUCCAGGACAGCAAUGAAGUAUCCAUUUAUGGCAAUAGGGGAACCUCCAUAUCCCCAUGGGCAGACGUCUGAAGACUGCAGGCGCAGAUCUGUUGUAGCAAGAAGAUUAUUGUAAUGUAGAUGGGAAGUGAUAGAUGGGAAAACCAGAAUCAGUCAUCAUCCACACUUCAUGGCCAUUAAGUUUUACUUGACAAUGUGGAGGAGCAAGCUCUGUAUUUGUCACACUUAAAACGCUGUCAGGAAGUGAUUCAUCUGCCUCAUUCUUAUCAUAUAGUGAAUCAGUAAUGGAGUGGGAGUGGACAGCAGAAUGGUCUGCUUAGCAAAGGGUCCCCCUUUUUUUGCACCUGUUGUAAGUGACCUUCUUUGCAGGACAGUCAGCAAAAUCAUUUUUGUGGGCAAAGUCUUCAUAUGUGGUAGUUCUUUUGUGGUAGUUCUUCCAUGGUAGCAGUGGUAGUUCUUCCUUUCUUGUGCUGCCACCUUUUGGGGCAGUGCCAUAUGAAAAGAUUGGGAUUGGAUUGGAAGGAUUUAGACUGAACAGCCUGAAUUUCAGGAAGCUCUUUUUGGGGUACCAAAGAGAGUGAUUUAGCACAGUGAAGAUCAUUUUCCACCCUCCUAGCCAUCUCUAGGACUUUAUCCAAGGUAAGCUGCUGCUCCAGUAGCAGGUUUUCACACAGUUUGGCACAGUUCAUUUUCAUAACAAUCUGAUCCCUGAUCAUUUCAUCAGUAAAGCUGGCAAACUCACAGGUUACACUUAAGGCAUGCAAUGCUGUGACAUAUUGAUUGAUAAAUUCACCAGGCAGUUGGGAUCUAGAAUAGAACUUGUAAUAUUCAGCAAUCACAUUCAAAGUAGGAUUGAAAUGAUAAUCUAAGGCUUAAAGAGCAGCUUCAUAAGGGUUGGCAUCCUCUUCCAAGUUGUUAGGAAAAGGUAAAAAAGUAAAUAUUCUUUGGCUUUCAGGACUCAGGCAGUGAAGCCAUAUAGCCUUCUGCUUUGCUGGACUAAAAUCAGGGGUCUGAAUAAAGGUAAAGGUAAAGUGUGCUGUCAAGUCAAUUUCGACUCCUGGCUCCCACCGAGUCCUGUGGUUUUCUUUGGUAGAAUACAGGAGGGGUUUACUAUUGCCUCCUUCCGCGCAGUAUGAGAUGAUGCGUUUCAGCAUCUCCCUAUAUCGCUGCUGCCUGAUAUAGUAUAGUACCAUUGGAGAUUCAAACCAGAAACCUUCUGCUUGUUAGCCAAGCCUUUCCCCGCUGCACCACUUAAGGUAGCUGAAUAGUGAGGAGAUAAUUGCAGAAAUAGGACCUCCGUUGUUUCUAGGGAAGAGCAGCUUCUCCUAGGGUUGAAAAGGAAAAAAGGUGGUGGUGGCAUUUGAGCCAUGCUGCAGUGGGCAUCCAGUGAACAACAGAGUCCAGGAUUGAGAAGGGAAAAGUAUUUUCAAGGGUUGUGCAGGUAAGCAAGCUGGAGAAACAAGCAGCAGCAGCAAUAGCAGAGCCCCUGGUGGCGCAGUGGUAAAACUGCCGCCCUGUAACCAGAAGGUUACAAGUUCAAUCCUGACCAGGGGCUCAAGGUUGACUCAGCCUUCCAUCCUUCCGAGGUCAGUAAAAUGAGUACCCAGAAUGUUGAGGGCAAUAUGCUAAAUAAUUGUAAACCGCUUAGAGAGCUCCGGCUAUAGAGCGGUAUAUAAAUGUAAGUGCUAUUGCUAUUGCUAUAGUGGAAUUCAGCAGUUCAAGAAUAUAGGCCAGUGAUGCAGUCAAAGGAAAAUGCAGGAACCCUUUACAAGCCUUACCUUUAUGCAUAAAGUUAAGGCUGCCGUCAAGUUAGUGUUGACUCCUGGCGAACACAACUCCUGUGGUUGUCUUUGGUAGAAUACAUAGCUGGUUCAAAUCUCAUCGCCAAAUGUUUUACAACAGCUUACCUCAUAAACACAAAGCAAUCUCAUGUUUGUUUAACUAAACUUUAUUCAAAAACAACUCAAUUUUUCUCCUUCUUCUUCUCCUCCUUUUCCUUUCUGACUCCACCUGCCCCCACAUACACUCUCUCUACAGGAUCUCCACAGGGACAAACUUCUAAUCAACAAAACAUGAAAGAUUGCUAGAUAGAAUACAAUAGACCUGAAUAAUUAUUGUGUGAAAUCCCCUGCUAACUGAGCAAAGAGACAACUUUUAAAGUAGUGAUUAUCUUAUAUUUAGCAGGGGGAGAACAACUGGCCCUAUCCAACCCCAGCAGAGCAUCCCUCCAGUGGCUGUUGCUGGUAUCUACCUUAUGGUUGGUUGGUUUUUUUGUUUUUUUUAGAAUGUGAGCCCUUUGGGGACAGGGGACCACCUUAUUUAUGUAUUAUUUAUUUUUCUAUGUAAGCCACUUUGAGAACUUUGGUUGAAGAGCAGUAUAUAAAUAUCUAUAGUAGUAGUAGUAGUAGUAGAAGUAGUAGUAGUAGUAGUACCCUGUUUCCCCGAAAGUAAGACCUACCCCGAAAGUAAGACCUAGCAGUAAUUUCUGAUGUACCGCUAAUUGCCCUAGUGCAUUUUUGGGGGCUAAAAUUAAUAUAAGACACUGUCUUAUUUUCAGGGAAACACGGUAGUAGUAAAAUGAGAAGAAUUAUCUUUCAGUUUCAAAUAUGAUGCAAAAAUAUUUAAAACUCCGGAAGUGUUCAAAUUAUUGAGUAAACCCUUGAUGGAAAAACGUGAAUUGACUAUCCUAAUUAAAACAUGUAUCCAUGCCUCUUUAUCUUAA